rnacentral:rRNA from 1 species
CCUACGGGAGGCAGCAGUAGGGAAUCUUCCGCAAUGGACGAAAGUCUGACGGAGCAAUGCCGCGUGAACGAUGAAGGCCUUCGGGUCGUAAAGUUCUGUUGUUAGGGAAGAACAAGUGCUAGUUAAAUAAGCUGGCACCUUGACGGUACCUAACCAGAAAGCCACGGCUAACUACGUGCCAGCAGCCGCGGUAAUACGUAGGUGGCAAGCGUUGUCCGGAAUUAUUGGGCGUAAAGCGCGCGCAGGCGGUUUCUAAGUCUGAUGUGAAAGCCCCCGGCUCAACCGGGGAGGGUCAUUGGAAACUGGGAAACUUGAGUGCAGAAGAGGAAAGUGGAAUUCCAAGUGUAGCGGUGAAAUGCGUAGAGAUUUGGAGGAACACCAGUGGCGAAGGCGACUUUCUGGUCUGUAACUGACGCUGAGGCGCGAAAGCGUGGGGAGCAAACAGGAUUAGAUACCCUGGUAGUCCACGCUGUAAACGAUGAGUGCUAAGUGUUAGAGGGUUUCGCCCUUUAGUGCUGAAGUUAACGCAUUAAGCACUCCGCCUGGGGAUACGGUCGCAAGACUGAAACUCAAAGGAAUUGACGG